rnacentral:rRNA from 1 species
GAUGAACGCUAGCUACAGGCUUAACACAUGCAAGUCGAGGGGUAACGAGAGGAAAGCUUGCUUUCCUUGUCGACGACCGGCGCACGGGUGAGUAACGCGUAUCCAACCUGCCCCCAACUAGGGAAUAACCUUGCGAAAGUAAGACUAAUACCCUAUAAUUUCCUCAGAUGACAUCUGACGAGGAAUAAAGAUUUAUCGGUUGUGGAUGGGGAUGCGUCUGAUUAGCUUGUUGGCGGGGUAACGGCCCACCAAGGCAACGAUCAGUAGGGGUUCUGAGAGGAAGGUCCCCCACAUUGGAACUGAGACGCGGUCCAAACUCCUACGGGAGGCAGCAGUGAGGAAUAUUGGUCAAUGGGCGAAAGCCUGUACCAGCCAAGUAGCGUGCAGGAUGACGGCCCUAUGGGUUGUAAACUGCUUUUAUACAGGAAUAAAGUUAGCCACGUGUGGUUAUUUGUAGGUACUGUAUGAAUAAGGACCGGCUAAUUCCGUGCCAGCAGCCGCGGUAA